GGAUCUUGUUUAUCUUGUUCUUUUCUAUAUCUGGCAGAAGAAGCCAUCUUUGGAUUUUUUUGGAACAAUAAAUGCAAGGCCUUUAGCUCGUGAUUUGUUUAUAACAUAUGCAAGGUCUUAUAAGCAUGAAUUUCUGAAGGAUUUUUUUCUCUCGACAGGGCGACUCCAAGAUGUGGCAUUUCUUUUGUUGAAAGAAUCAGCGGAAUCGGAAAAGAACCCUAUGGCUAGUAGAGGUUCUCCUCUUCA
rnacentral:misc_RNA from 1 species